rnacentral:lncRNA from 1 species
UAUAUAUAUAUAUAUAUAUAUAUAUAGUCCGUUUACUAUACUUUCGAAAGUAGCGGGACCUCCGUACUUGUAAGUUAUUUUCGAUGAUAGGAUAUCCGAUUCGACGAUCGGCUCCGUUAGGUAUAAUCUACUCUAUUGGAACUAUCUAGAAACUAAAUUUUAUAAUUUUUUAACAUCAUUUACUAAGCGAUCAAAAGGUCCCAAAAAUGACUAUUUUAACGGCUGAUGCAGCACGUUUUUAAAUUCAACGGUGUAGAAGUAUCCAAAUUACAUGAAAAUUUAAUAAAAAAUUUUACUUAACGUCAAUAGCAAGAUCAAUACUUCCGAUUUGAAAUUUGAUUCAUUUAUCAUUAUUUUUUAUAAGAUUUUUAUUUUCAGCCGUUCAUUUUGAGGCUACUCGUUCACUAAGCAAACGAAGCCAAAAAGUUGUGAAAUUUGGUUUCUAGAUAGUUCCAAUAGCGUAGAUCAUGUCUAACGGAACCGAUUGCCGAAUCGGACGUUCCAUCAUCGAAAACAACUUAUAAGUACGAAGGCUCCCGUACUUUCGAAAGCAUAUGAGCCUAGCUAUAUAUAUAUAUAUAUAUAGUGAGGCUACAUGCUAUCGGAAGCACGGAGCCUUCUGUGCUUCCAGCUCGUUUUCAAUGUUGNNNNNNNNNNNNNNNNNNNNNNNNNAUAAUUUAUUAUAAAUUUUAUUUUAAUAUUUAAAUAUAAAUAAUAUGUAUUAAUAUAGUACAAUUAAUAAUUUUAUAAUAAAAAUAAUGUAUUAUAAUAUAUAACUUAUUAUAUUUAUAUAAUUUAUUUUUAAUUUAAUUUAUAAUUUUUAUUAAGUUUGAAUUUAAAAAUUGGAAUAUCACUAUUUCACCAAAAUGGUGGAAUAGUAAAUCCCUUACUAUUCCAGAAUAAUCAGGACUAGUAAGAUUUAACCGGGAUAAAAUAUUUCGGUCAAAUUUCACCCAAUUUGGUAGAAUAGCAGGGAUAACUUUCGUUAUUCCCGCUCAUCCCCCGAACCAAACGGGGCCAAAAGUUUGGUUAUGUUCGAUGAAUUAUCGAGGGAUAAUUCUGAUGUUCUUUGGGUGUGAUUUUAUUCUCUCGAGGAUCCGUAAUAGGUGGUCAUGCGGUAGAACUUAAAUAUUUGAAUCGUUAACUUUUUUUAUGCAGAAAAAUGGUUCGAAUGUUUAAUCUAUCUAGAGAAAAAAAAAAAAAAUUAAUAGCCGAAUUUUUAACGGUCCGGAGUCGUUGUUAGGGAUCUCAAUGGAUUUUCGAAUAUGAAUUUUGAUUGUACCCGAUCCGAACCCGAACCCGAACCCGAAUUCGAAUCUGAAUUUAUUUUACAUUAUAUAUAUAUAUAUAUAUAUAUAUAUAUAUAUAUAUAUAUAUAUAUAAAUUUGAUGUUAUAUUUAAAUAUGUAUUUUAAAAAUUUAAAUUUAAUAUAAUAUAUUUUGAAAUAUUGAAAAGAGAAAUAAUUAUUUUGGGUCGGAUUUUCGGAUUCCAGUUUCGGAUUUUGAUCGGGUUUAGGUUUGGAUACGAAUUU